UCCUGGCCUGGAGAGUGAAGUUCUCCAUUUAUAGAGCAGGUAAAGUGCAGGCAGCAGCAGAACAAGCUUCUCCACUUUGCCUCAUUAAUGUGCCUCAACUGUGAUCUGGAAGGAUCACCUCUAGGAGGAGAGAUUUACUCCUCAGGGUAUGGGUACACUGACACUU
rnacentral:sRNA from 1 species